rnacentral:rRNA from 1 species
UAUGAAGGGGGCUAGCGUUGUUCGGAAUUACUGGGCGUAAAGGGCGCGCAGGCGGUCCUUCAAGUCAGGCGUGAAAGCCCCGGGCUCAACCUGGGAAUAGCGCUUGAGACUGAGGGACUUGAGUUCGGGAGAGGAGAGCGGAAUUCCCAGUGUAGAGGUGAAAUUCGUAGAUAUUGGGAAGAACACCGGUGGCGAAGGCGGCGACCUGGUCCUUGACUGACGCUGAGGCGCGAAAGCGUGGGGAGCAAACAGG